rnacentral:misc_RNA from 1 species
UACGAAGGGUGCAAGCGUUGUUCGGAAUUACUGGGCGUAAAGGGUUCGUAGGCGGGAGUGUAAGUCGAAUGUGAAAUCCCUGGGCUUAACCUAGGACGUGCAUCCGAAACUACAUUUCUUGAGUAUUGGAGGGGGUCGUGGAAUUGCUGGUGUAGGAGUGAAAUCCGUAGAGAUCAGCAGGAACGCCAGAGGCGAAAGCGACGGCCUGGCCAAAUACUGACGCUGAGGAACGAAAGCGUGGGGAGCAAACAGG